GUAGGUACCUAGAUAAUAUUGUUACUGAUAUUAUAAAUGUGAAAGUGUGUCUGUCUGUCUGUCUGCUAGCGUUUUACGGCUCAACCGUUCAAUCAAUUUUGACGUUUGGUACAGAGAUAGCUUGCAUCCCGGGGAAGGACAUAUACUACUUUUUAUCCCGGAAAAUUGACCAGUUCCCACGGGAAUUUAAAAAACCUAAUCCACGCGGGCGA